UACGUAGGGCGCAAGCGUUGUCCGGAAUUAUUGGGCGUAAAGGGUGCGUAGGCGGUUUGGUAAGUCUUGUGUGAAAUCUACAGGCUCAACUUGUAGUCUGCACGAGAAACUGCCGGGCUUGAGUGUGGGAGAGGUGAGUGGAAUUCCUGGUGUAGCGGUGAAAUGCGUAGAUAUCAGGAGGAACACCUGUGGCGAAAGCGGCUCACUGGACCAUAACUGACGCUGAUGCACGAAAGCUAGGGGAGCAAACAGG
rnacentral:rRNA from 1 species